ACAUCAGGUUGAAACACCGGUUCUCGUAUGAUCACCGAAGUUAAGCAACGUUGAGCCUGGUCAGUAAUCCGGUGGAUGACCGCUUGGGAAUGUCAUGUGCUGUAA